UGUGGUUGCUGGGAAUUUUGAACUCAGAACCUCUGGAAGAGCAGUCAAGGCUCUUAACUACUGGGCCAUCACUCCAGUCCUCUGAGUAAAUAGUUUA